rfam:Cicer arietinum chromosome Ca5, whole genome shotgun sequence.
GUUUGUCCCUUUGAGAACAUUUGAUUAAAUUAAAACAAUACAGAAAAGAUUAGUUCGACCUCUACACAAAAAUAACAUGCACAAAUCGAAAAAUAGUCUCAAAAAUU